AACGAACGCUGGCGGCAUGCCUAACACAUGCAAGUCGAACGAUGGCUUCGGCCAUAGUGGCGCACGGGUGAGUAACGCGUGGGAACCUGCCUUUUGGUUUGGGAUAACUCCGGGAAACUGGAGCUAAUACCGGAUGAGCCCGAGCAAUCGGGGAAAGAUUUAUCGCCAAAAGAGGGGCCCGCGUCCGAUUAGGGUAGUUGGUGGGGUAACGGCCUACCAAGCCUACGAUCGGUAGCUGGUCUGAGAGGAUGAUCAGCCACACUGGGACUGAGACACGGCCCAGACUCCUACGGGAGGCAGCAGUGGGGAAUAUUGGACAAUGGGCGCAAGCCUGAUCCAGCAAUGCCGCGUGGAUGAUGAAGGCCUUAGGGUUGUAAAGUCCUUUCGGCGGGGACGAUGAUGACGGUACCCGCAGAAGAAGCCCCGGCUAACUUCGUGCCAGCAGCCGCGGUAAU
rnacentral:rRNA from 1 species